GCACUGCUGAAGAGUCCCAUAAUAGCACGAAAUGGCCGUCCAGUGC
rfam:Schistosoma rodhaini strain Burundi genome assembly, scaffold: SROB_scaffold0005853